UCAGAGAAUCUCCUUGGAGGAGAAGGGGUUGGUCACUGAACAGCCCUCCCUGCCCCUCCCAAGGCCUUCCCAAGGAGUCUGUCCGGUCCCUCAGCCCAGCACACUGGACUUCCAGCCUGCCCUGAAUGUGAUCACAAAUGAAAACUGGAAUUUGCCUCCCAAGGUUGGACAGUGGAACUGUCAGAUCUCCAGAACUCCAGAUCUCCUUCAGGGUGUCUGGCUUUCCCUGCCCUCCUGUGAACCGGCUGGGGACAGACCCAACUAGACAGAAGGUCAAAGCACCAAAGAGAACGACCCUCUCGAGAGUCUGGAGUAGCCUGAAAACCAUCAGCCCUGCUCUCCAGUCUCCCAGUCUCGGAAAAUAACAACAGUCUUUGCUCACUCUCCCUCACAAA